AAACAGGUGAAUUUGGUAAGGCGUUGACUCAACAUCGACAACGAUUUGAUGAUCAAAAAGUUGAUGAGUGAAAAAUUGCACUCACUACUGUUGCUGAUUUAUCUGGAUGGGAUUUGCAAACCAUGACAAACGGGUAUGAAGCAAAGUUCAUCAAAAAAAUUACUGAAGAGGUAUUGAGGGGAGUAAAUCGUCGUACAUACAUGAAUGUUGCAAAGUAUCCUAUUGGAAUUGAAUCUCGUGUCAGAGAUAUACUUCAUUUAUUGCAUUAUAUCAAGAUGCUUGAAAUCUUUGGCAUGGGUGGUGUGGGAAAAACAACCCUUGCUAAAGCCAUUUAUAACUUGAGUUUUCAAAAGUUUGAAGGCUGCUGCUUUAUUGCAAACAUUAGAUCACAAGUUUCUGAAGGGUACAAUGGUUUAGUUCGUUUACAAGAGACACUUCUUUGCAAAACACUUAACAAAAAGAAACUUGAAAUAAAAAAUGUUGAUGAAGGAAUAAGUUUGAUAAAACAAAGACUGCGAUCAAAAAGUGUUCUUAUUGUUCUUGAUGACAUAGACGAUACAAGUCAACUUGAAUCAUUAGCCGGACAACGGAAUUGGUUUGGUUCAGGGAGCACAAUUAUAAUAACAACUAGAGAUGUUCAGUUGUUGAGUGACCUGGAAGCACACGAGAAGUACCUGGUAGAAACGUUAAGCCCUUGUGAAUCCUUGAAACUCUUGAGUUCGCAUGCUUUUGGUGUUCCUAUACCAUUAGAGGAGUAUAUUGACCUAUCCGAAAGGAUAGCAAGUUAUACUGGUGGACUUCCACUAGCACUUACAAUUAUAGGUUCUCAUUUGCGUGGAAAAUCAGUGCAAGAAUGGAGUGAUGAUGCUAAGAAAUUAAGAGGGAUGCCUCAUGAUGAUGUUCAAAGAAUUCUUAAAAUAAGUUAUGAUUCACUUGAUGAUGAUACUCGAAAUAUCUUUCUUGAUAUUGCUUGUUUUUUUAUUGGGCAUGACAAAAAUGACACUUCUAUGAUAUUGGAAGCUUGUGGUUUUUAUGCUAAAAGUGGAAUAAGAAUUUUGAUUGAAAGAUGCUUGUUGACAACAAAUGGGGAUGGAAAGUUUGAAAGUCUUGAGAUGCAUGAUUUAGUACGAGAUAUGGGAAGAGAAAUUGUUCGAAAGGAAUCUCCACGAGAGGCUGGCAAACAAAGUAGAUUAAUUGACCCAAAGGAUGUCUUCGAUGUUCUUCACGGGAACAAGGGCACAGAAGCAAUUGAAGGGAUGAUUGUUAAUUCUGACAUGCUAGAGAAUGUGCCUUUGAAUACACAAGUAUUCAAAAGGAUGGUAAAGUUACGAAUACUCAUAUUGAAUGGUAUGUGUCUCAGCGGAUCUUUUAAAUAUUUAUCGAAUGAACUUAGGUUUUUUAGAUUACACAAUUGCAACUUGAGUCGCAUACAAUCUGAUUUUCACUGUGAGAAACUUGUUGAGUUAGACAUGGAAGGUAGCAAUAUCAAAGAAUUUCAAUGCAGUAUGGAGCAUUUUAGAUGGUUGAGGAUCUUAAAGCUUGAUUUCUGUCAACAACUUAAGAAAACCCCAAACUUCACUGGAUCACAGACUCUUCAUAAAGUAUCCUUUAUUCGUUGUUCAAGUUUGGUCAAGGUACACCCAUCAAUUGGAUGUUUGGAGAGACUCGUUGAGUUAAAUUUCUUCGGUUGCAAGGAACUCAAGGUUCUUCCAAGUAGCAUUUGCAAGUUAAAGUCACUUGAAGUUUUACGCUUAGAUGAAUGCGAAAAACUGAGGGAGCUUCCAAUUGACAUGGGAAAAUUAGAGCAACUAAGAGAGUUACUUGCUAAUGGAACUGCCAUCUCACAUAUACCAUUUUCUUUCGGAUGUUUGAGAAAUCUAAAGACACUGAAUCUGGGGAAGAGCAAGAAUUGUGUACUAUCAAAAUCAAAAUCUCAACUUCUUGACAAUUUAUCAUCACCUCUUUUUUUGUCAAGAAGAAGUCGUGAUGGUGUUGGUUUCUUUCCACCUUCAGUUGCAAAUUUGUGCUCUUUGGAAUUUCUAUAUCUGAAUGACAUCUAUCUACAUGAAGUAGAUCUUAGGAUCACUCUUGAGAAUUUGACCUCAUUGGUAUCUUUAGAUUUAUCAGGGAGUUAUUAUCAUCAAAGCUUACCCUUUAGCCUUUGUCAUCUUUCAAACUUGAAAUUUCUAUCCUUGAACAAUUUGAGAAAUCUUAGAGUACUUGUAGAACUUCCUCCUAGUUUGGUGAAUCUCUCUGCAGAAAAUUGUGUUUCAUUGGAAAAUAUAGCAGUUGUAUCAAACUUGAAGAGACUUGAAGUGUUGCGUAUUGGGAAUUGCAAAAGUUUGGUUGUGCUUCGAAACAUGGAGAGUCUUUCAUCCUUAGUAGAGCUUGACAUAAGCAAUUGCAUAAGUUUGGUUGAGCUUCCGAACAUGGAGAGUCUUUCAUCCUUAGAAAUUCUUGGCAUAAGGAAAUGCAUAAGUUUGGUUGAGCUUCCGAACAUAGAGAGUCUUUCAUCCUUAAAAUGUCUUAACAUAAGGAAUUGCAAUGCUUUGACUAUUCCUGACAAGUAUUUGCAUGAAGAAGAUUUUCCAAUUGCUCUUAGGAGUUUGUCCUCCUCGUUGAAUGAAGUAGAUUUAAUGGGAAGAUAUUAUCUUCAAAGUUUACCAUUAAACCUUUGUCAUCACUCCAAUUUGAAGUAUAUCUGCUUAGACGAUUUGCAGAAUCUUAGAUUACUUCCACAACUUCCUCCUAAUUUGGAGAUACUCUCUACAAAGAAUUGUGUGUCAUUAGAAAAGAUAGCAGAUCUAUCCAACUUGAAAAGACUCCAUAAACUAGAUAUUCAGAACUGUAAAAGUUUGGUUGAGCUUUCAGGCUUGGAGAGUCUUGAAUCCUUAAUUGUUCUUGGGAUAGCAAAUUGCAUUGGUUUGAGGAUUCCUUCAAUUGAAAAGUGGUUCAAGGCACAUUCUAAAGGUGACAGUGUCGAUAUUUCGCUUUGCGCGAGCUAUUGGUCUGUACUCUGCAUUUUUCCAAAACCUUCAGGGGAUGUACAGCUUCAAAUCAUGCACAGUGUGAUUGAUCCCUGCAGUGAAAUUGAGGGUUGCAAUGGGAUUCGUUUGAGUGCGAGAAUCAAAAGCAGUGGUGCUUGGAUUAUAAAGCAACAAAAAUAUUUUAACAGAAAAAGCGAAUCAUAUACUGCGAUUUGUUUUGAUUUUCCCACAAUGAUGGGAGAAGUAUUGGAGGUCUGUGUAGAACUCAAGGAUCAUGUGCAGAUCAUAUUUUGUCUAUUUGAAAUACAUAGAAAUAGAGAAGGCGAAGUGCGUUUCUUUCCAUCCACAAGGGGAUUCAUUCCUGCCUGAUUUUGUACAGGAUGCAUAUAUGUUAUUAGAGUAGCAUCAGAUAUUCAGAUCAGACAUGCGUUAGUUGUACGUACGUGUUUAGCAUCUUCAGCUUUUGCUGCAAAUGAAAGUAAAAAUGGAUUUAUAAAGAGUAGGACGGCUGGAGUAGGAGAAGACACAGA